rnacentral:rRNA from 1 species
UACGUAGGGGGCUAGCGUUGUCCGGAAUCAUUGGGCGUAAAGAGCGUGUAGGCGGCCCGGUAAGUCCGCUGUGAAAGUCGGGGGCUCAACCCUCGAAUGCCGGUGGAUACUGUCGGGCUAGAGUGCGGAAGAGGCGAGUGGAAUUCCUGGUGUAGCGGUGAAAUGCGCAGAUAUCUGGAGGAACACCGGUGGCGAAGGCGGCAUCCUGGACCGACACUGACACUGAGGAGCGAAAGCCAGGGGAGCAAACGGG